rnacentral:tRNA from 4 species
GUCGAAGUGGCGAAAUAGGCAGACGCGCUAGCUUGAGGGGCUAGUGAUCGUAAGAUCAUGGGGGUUCAAGUCCCCCCUUCGACACCA